AAUCAACGUUGGCGGCGUGCCUAACACAUGCAAGUCGAACGCGAAAGCCCCGCAAGGGGUAAGUAGAGUGGCAAACGGGUGAGUAACACGUGGGUGACCUGCCUUAGAGUGGGGGAUAACGUCCCGAAAGGGACGCUAAUACCGCAUAACAUCCUGCCUUUGAAGAGGUGGAGAUCAAAGCCGGGGACCGCAAGGCCUGGCGCUCAAAGAGGGGCCCGCGCCUGAUUAGCUAGUUGGUGAGGAAUGGCUCACCAAGGCAACGAUCAGUAUCCGGCCUGAGAGGGCGGACGGACACACUGGGACUGAGACACGGCCCAGACUCCUACGGGAGGCAGCAGUGGGGAAUUGUUCGCAAUGGGCGCAAGCCU
rnacentral:rRNA from 1 species